GCUCCUUUUAUGUAUGGAAGGAACAAUAAUCCUGCAGAAGCAAAGUAGCAGAAAUAAUCUUUUGUUGUUCCUCAUUUUGUGUUUUGGGAGCAGUGAGAAAGAAGUCACCACCUAAAGAAACCUGGAAAAUCACUUCUCAAUAAAUUGUCCAGCUGCUGAAGUGAUAUUGGAAACUUCAACUUUGCUUGGAAGAGCGUUAGUGCCAAAACUGCUGGAGGGGGGUUAUUUAUUGCUCAGGCAAAGGCGAAGCGUUGGGAUAGUUUCGGGAGCUGUAUUUGAGUGCGGUCACCUGGGUGCACGGCUUGAUGGAGACACAUCUGCUCAGGAGGUGACUCAGCUGCCGUCCAUGAGCAUGAGAACGUGCAGGCCUGAAACAGCCGUUCAGCCUGAGACCGAUACUACUUAGAGCGGUAGCUGCUCCAGCUUCCACAACGUGUGGCAGCAGCUUGCACAACUAGUGGCAUCGCAGCCUUCCCAGAGGAGACCUGGAGUGAACCGAGGGGUUUGGUGGGGUGGGAUGGGAUCGGGGCAUCUUUAGGGGGGUACCUGGGUGAGGGGAGAAGGAACACUUGAUGUUGCAGUUCUGUUGCAGCUAAGGCAAAAAGCUUUCCCUGUGUUGGGGCCAGGUUAGGUACAUUCGCUGUUUCUUGAGAAUAAACACCUCGUUUUGUUUGUACA
rnacentral:lncRNA from 1 species